rnacentral:rRNA from 1 species
CAGCAGCCGCGGGAACACAGAGGGUGCGAGCGUUAAUCGGAUUUACUGGGCGUAAAGCGUGCGUAGGCGGCUUCUUAAGUCGGAUGUGAAAUCCCUGAGCUUAACUUAGGAAUUGCAUUCGAUACUGGGAAGCUAGAGUAUGGGAGAGGAUGGUAGAAUUCCAGGUGUAGCGGUGAAAUGCGUAGAGAUCUGGAGGAAUACCGAUGGCGAAGGCAGCCAUCUGGCCUAAUACUGACGCUGAGGUACAAAAGCAUGGGGAGCAAACAGGAUUAGAUACCCCAGUAGUCCCUGUCUCUUAUAC